CCUACGGGAGGCAGCAGUGGGGAAUAUUGGGCAAUGGAGGCAACUCUGACCCAGCAACGCCGCGUGAAUGAUGAAGGUCUUCGGAUUGUAAAGUUCUUUUCUAAGGGAAGAAGAAAGUGACGGUACCUUAGGAAUAAGCCUCGGCUAACUACGUGCCAGCAGCCGCGGUAAUACGUAGGAGGCAAGCGUUAUCCGGAAUGACUGGGCGUAAAGGGUGCGUAGGUGGUUUGACAAGUUGGUAGCGUAACUCCGGAGCUCAACUUCGGAACUACUACCAAAACUGUUGGACUCGAGUGCAGGAGGGGAAACUGGAAUGUCUAGUGUAGCGGUGGAAUGCGUAGAUAUUAGGAGGAACACCAGUGGCGAAGGCGGUCUGCUGGACAGCAACUGACGGUGAGGCGCGAAAGCGUGGGGAGCAAACAGGAUUAGAUACCCGGGUAGUC
rnacentral:rRNA from 1 species